ACCCGACUACAUGAAGCUGGAAUCGCUAGUAAUCGCGGAUCAGAAUGCCGCGGUGAAUACGUUCCCGGGUCUUGUACACACCGCCCGUCACACCAUGGGAGUCGGAAAUGCCCGAAGUCAGUAGUCCAACCUCGUGAGGACGCUGCCGAAGGUAGGAUUGGCGACUGGGGUGAAGUCGUAACAAGGUAGC
rnacentral:rRNA from 1 species